AGGACGAACGCUGGCGGCGUGCUUCAUACAUGCAAGUCGAACGAGAAUCUCACUUCGGUGAGAGGAAAGUGGCGGACGGGUGAGUAAUGUGUAGAGAAUCUGCCCUAGAGUGAGGGACAACAGAGGGAAACUUCUGCUAAUACCUCAUAUGCGCGUAGCUGAGAUGCUAUUCGUGAAAACUCCGGUGCUCUGGGAUGAGUCUGCAUCUGAUUAGCUAGUUGGGGGUGUAAUGGACCACCAAGGCGACGAUCAGUAGCUGGUUUGAGAGGAUGAUCAGCCACAAUGGGACUGAGACACGGCCCAUACUCCUACGGGAGGCAGCAGUAGGGAAUUUUGCGCAAUGGGGGGAAAAACCCCUGACGCAGCAACGCCGCGUGAACGAAAAAGCCCUUCGGGGUGUAAAGUUCUGUCAGUGGGGACGAAACUUGACGGUACCCACAGAGGAAGCAUCGGCUAACUCCGUGCCAGCCGCAGC
rnacentral:rRNA from 1 species